rnacentral:rRNA from 1 species
GAAAAUCUCGAUAAGGGUGUAUGGUGAAUGCCUUGACAUAAGAAGACGAUGAAGGACGUAGCAGCCUGCGAUAAGCUUCGGGGAGGUGGCAAGCAACCUUUGAACCGAAGAUCUCCGAAUGGGGAAACCUGUCCUAUUGAAGAUGGGACGAGCUGACGCAAGUCAGCUGGAAGACCCGGUGAACUGAAACAUCUUAGUAGCCGGAGGAAAAGAGAACAAUAGUUAUUCCCUUAGUAGUGGCGAGCGAAAAGGGAGAAGUCUAAACCUUUCAAACUGCAUAUAAUUUAUUUUACUUUUGUGAAAUGGUUAUAUUGAAGGCUCUGGGGCCAUAUGUUUGGGGGGGGUUGCAAGAUCGUAGUGCCUGUUUCCUAGAUAGACAGGGCCGAGUCAUAAAUAAUGAUUUUUAAUCAAAUCGAACUGGAAAGUUCAGCCAGAGCGGGUGAUAGCCCCGUAGAUGAAAAAAAUCUUUGCUCGGUAAUUACGGUUCUUAAGUAGGACGGGCCUCGUGAAAUCCCGUCUGAAGCCAGGUCGACCAUGACCUAAGACUAAAUACUUCUUAUGAUCG